rnacentral:rRNA from 1 species
UACGGAGGGUGCGAGCGUUGUCCGGAAUCACUGGGCGUAAAGGGCGCGUAGGCGGCGCGGGGAGUCAACGGUGAAAGCUCGGCGCUCAAUGCCGAGUCGGCCGUCGAUACUCCCGUGCUCGAGCACUGUAGAGGCAGGUGGAAUUCCGGGUGUAGCGGUGGAAUGCGUAGAGAUCCGGAAGAACACCGGUGGCGAAGGCGGC